rnacentral:tRNA from 1 species
GUAUACGUAAUUUAAUUAAAAUACUAGAUUGUGACUCUAGAUAUGAAAGUUCAAUUCUUUCCGUAAACC